UAAGGUUUAACCUGCCCGAUGAAAUUUGAAUGGCCGCGGUAUUUUGACUGUGCUAAGGUAGCAUAAUCAUUAGUUUUUUAAUUGAAAGCUGGAAUGAAGGGUUGGAUGAAAAAUUAACUGUCUCUAAUUAAAUUUAUUAGAAUUUUAUUUUUAAGUUAAAAAGCUUAAAUAUAUUUAAAAGACGAGAAGACCCUAUAGAGUUUAAUAUAUCUAAUUUAUUUUUAUUUAGAAUUUAUUUUUUUUAAUAAUGAUGUAUUUAAUUGGGGUGAUUAAAAAAUUUAAUAAACUUUUUUUAUAAAUUUAUAUUGAUUAAUAAAUUAAUGAUCCAAAUAUUUUGAUUAAAAGAUAAAUUACCUUAGGGAUAACAGCGUAAUUUUAUUAAAGAGUUCAAAUCGAAAAUAAAGUUUGCGA
rnacentral:rRNA from 1 species